CGGUACGUACUGGCAUUGUUGGUUUCUCCCUUCUGACGAACCAUGAUGUCAUUUAUUGGGUGUUGUGGGGAAUCAGGACUGUUACUUUGAAAAAAUUAGAGUGUUUAAAGCAGGCUCACGCUUGAAUACAUUAGCAUGGAAUAAUGAAAUAGGACGUUUGUUUCUAUUUUGUUGGUUUCUAGGAUCGACGUAAUGAUUAAUAGGGAUAGUUGGGGGCAUUAGUAUUCAAUUGUCAGAGGUGAAAUUCUUGGAUUUAUUGAAGACUAACUACUGCGAAAGCAUUUGCCAAGGAUGUUUUCAUUAAUCAAGAACGAAAGUUAGGGGAUCGAAGACGAUCAGAUACCGUCGUAGUCUUAACCAUAAACUAUGCCGACUAGGGACCGGAUGAUGUUAAUUUUUUAAUGACUCAUUCGGCGCCUUACG
rnacentral:rRNA from 1 species